ensembl:snRNA U6 U6 spliceosomal RNA
GUGCUCACCACGGCAGCACAUGUACCAAAACUGAAACAGUUCAGAGAGGAUUAGCGUGGCCCCUGCACGGGCUGCCAUGCAAAUCCAGGAAGCAAUCCGUGUUUUU